rnacentral:rRNA from 1 species
UAUGCGAAGUUCAGAUACUACUUAUAUAUAUAUCGCGCGCUGGAUGGCCGCAUCCCACGCAGGGUCCAUUCCCGCGCUGGUAUUAAGUAAACGCUGGGCUGCCGGGCUUCGGCCGCUUUUAAUCACCAGAAUCGGUUUGUUACGUGAAGCGCUACGGGCGGCGGAAACAAAACGGCGGGCGUCGCUUAACUGUUCCAGAUAGAGCAAAAUCGCGCUGGUCUUGCUGUCGCGCGCCAGAUAGUCCAGUAGUUCAUCGACAUCAAUAUCCAGGCUAUCGCCCAGCGCGAUAAAGUAGGAAAAGCCCAUUUCACGCUGUUGCGCCCAGUCAAGAAUAGUAUUGGAAACUGCGGCAGACUGGGAAAUAAAAGCGAGCUUGCCCUGUUUAAUCGGGACGGGAGAAAAGCUGGCAUUCAGCCCUUGCCACGGCGCGAGAAGCCCAAGACUGUUUGGACCCAGCAGACGCAUUUUAUAAUGCCGGGCACAGGCAAGAAGUUCUUCAUGUUGCGACGUGGGAGCAGAAAGGAUAAUGCACGUUUUACACCCUUUCGCGCCAAGCGCGUCCAGUAACGCCAGGUUACGGCUGGCGUUAGUGCAUAAAAUAGCCAGAUCGGGUGUGAAAGGAAGACUGGCGAUAUCCGGCCAGGCCAUGACGCCUAAAACGGCUUUCCAGGCGGGCGUCACGGGAAGGACGGGGCCAUUGAAUCCGCCCGCCAACAAGUUACGCAUCAUCAGGUAACCCGCGCGGUGGGGCUUCAUUGAUGCGCCAAUCACCGCGAUCGAUUUUGGUCGCAGUAGCGCUUCCAGUCCUUGCUGGCUC